GUGCUCACUUCACCAGCACAUAUACUGGAAUUGAAGCAAUACAGAAGAUUAGCAUGACUCUUGAGCAAAGAUGACACACAAAUUCUUGAAGUGUUGUAUAUAUAU
ensembl:snRNA U6 U6 spliceosomal RNA